CCGAAAAUGUACCGGGGCUAAACAUAUUACCGAAGCUGUGGAUUGUCCUUUGGACAAUGGUAGGAGAGCGUUCUAAGGGCGUUGAAGCAUGAUCGCAAGGACAUGUGGAGCGCUUAGAAGUGAGAAUGCCGGUGUGAGUAGCGAAAGAUGGGUGAGAAUCCCGUCCACCGAUUGACUAAGGUUUCCAGAGGAAGGCUCGUCCGCUCUGGGUUAGUCGGGUCCUAAGCUGAGGCCGACAGGCGUAGGCGAUGGAUAACAGGUUGAUAUUCCUGUACCACCUAUAAUCGUUUUAAUCGAUGGGGGGGACGCAGUAGGAUAGGCGAAGCGUGCGAUUGGAUUGCACGUCUAAGCAGUAAGGCUGAGUAUUAGGCAAAUCCGGUACUCGUUAAGGCUGAGCUGUGAUGGGGAGAAGACAUUGUGUCUUCGAGUCGUUGAUUUCACACUGCCGAGAAAAGCCUCUAGAUAGAAAAUAGGUGCCCGUACCGCAAACCGACACAGGUAGUCAAGAUGAGAAUUCUAAGGUGAGCGAGCGAACUCUCGUUAAGGAACUCGGCAAAAUGACCCCGUAACUUCGGGAGAAGGGGUGCUCUUUAGGGUUAACGCCCAGAAGAGCCGCAGUGAAUAGGCCCAAGCGACUGUUUAUCAAAAACACAGGUCUCUGCUAAACCGUAAGGUGAUGUAUAGGGGCUGACGCCUGCCCGGUGCUGGAAGGUUAAGAGGAGUGGUUAGCUUCUGCGAAGCUACGAAUCGAAGCCCCAGUAAACGGCGGCCGUAACUAUAACGGUCCUAAGGUAGCGAAAUUCCUUGUCGGGUAAGUUCCGACCCGCACGAAAGGCGUAACGAUUUGGGCACUGUCUCAACGAGAGACUCGGUGAAAUCAUAGUACCUGUGAAGAUGCAGGUUACCCGCGACAGGACGGAAAGACCCCGUGGAGCUUUACUGUAGCCUGAUAUUGAAAUUCGGCACAGCUUGUACAGGAUAGGUAGGAGCCUUUGAAACGUGAGCGCUAGCUUACGUGGAGGCGCUGGUGGGAUACUACCCUAGCUGUGUUGGCUUUCUAACCCGCACCACUUAUCGUGGUGGGAGACAGUGUCAGGCGGGCAGUUUGACUGGGGCGGUCGCCUCCUAAAAGGUAACGGAGGCGCUCAAAGGUUCCCUCAGAAUGGUUGGAAAUCAUUCAUAGAGUGUAAAGGCAUAAGGGAGCUUGACUGCGAGACCUACAAGUCGAGCAGGGUCGAAAGACGGACUUAGUGAUCCGGUGGUUCCGCAUGGAAGGGCCAUCGCUCAACGGAUAAAAGCUACCCCGGGGAUAACAGGCUUAUCUCCCCCAAGAGUUCACAUCGACGGGGAGGUUUGGCACCUCGAUGUCGGCUCAUCGCAUCCUGGGGCUGUAGUCGGUCCCAAGGGUUGGGCUGUUCGCCCAUUAAAGCGGUACGCGAGCUGGGUUCAGAACGUCGUGAGACAGUUCGGUCCCUAUCCGUCGUGGGCGUAGGAAAUUUGAGAGGAGCUGUCCUUAGUACGAGAGGACCGGGAUGGACAUACCUCUGGUGUACCAGUUGUCGUGCCAACGGCAUAGCUGGGUAGCUAUGUGUGGACGGGAUAAGUGCUGAAAGCAUCUAAGCAUGAAGCCCCCCUCAAGAUGAGAUUUCCCAACUUCGGUUAUAAGAUCCCUCAAAGAUGAUGAGGUUAAUAGGUUCGAGGUGGAAGUAUGGUGACAUGUGGAGCUGACGAAUACUAAUCGAUCGAAGACUUAAUCAA
rnacentral:rRNA from 1 species